rnacentral:rRNA from 1 species
GACAGAGGGUGCAAACGUUGCUCGGAAUCACUGGGCGUAAAGGGCGUGUAGGCGGGAAGGAAAGUCGGGCGUGAAAUCCCUGGGCUCAACCCAGGAACUGCACUCGAAACUUCUUUUCUUGAGUGCCGGAGAGGAAAGCGGAAUUCCUGGUGUAGAGGUGAAAUUCGUAGAUAUCAGGAGGAACACCAGUGGCGAAGGCGGCUUUCUGGACGGUAACUGACGCU